rnacentral:sRNA from 1 species
GUGAGCCUGCGGUUGCUACGUAACCGCGUAGUUUGAGCCAUUUCUGCGUCUGGCGGGUCCUUCUGAACUUGUCACCUUUGCCUGGGGUCGCAACGACCUGAUGAUCGAUGAUUCAAGCAAGGGAAAAGAAGCCUUGGCGCAGAGCGGAGGUUUGGUGGGGCGGGGAAUGGGGUGUUGUUCCCGUCCACGGAAGCUUUCUGGGAUGGGGGUGCUGUGCUGGCAUCCCGGGGGUUGGAAUUGGCGGGGUCCUCUGUGCCAUGCUGUGAGCGUUUCCAGGACUUUGACCUCGCUCAGCCUGCCUCCCUCCACCCUACGUGUGCGACCGCUUUCUCGCGGUGUGACAUGGAGUGUUACUCAAUGUCCUUAUACUUUCCAUUGCUGUUUUUUGUAAUGGGGACAUUAGAACCAUCCUAGUAGAAUCGUUUUUGGUAACUGAAAGAGAUAACGCAAAUGAGAACCUUAAAGCAGUCCGUGUCACUUGGUGACUGGUGGUCUCUUGUUAACUUCCCGAAGAGGUCAGGUCCCCGGGUGGGGUCAUAGCUCCAGCUGCAGGGGCCCUGUUCCUUCUCCCUAAUAUCUGCAGGACGCUGGAUGAUCCCGGGAGGCCUUCUGACCUCGUUUUAGGAAAGCGAGAGUUGCGUCCGCUUCCACGAAGGGCGGAGAGCAUUUAACUUUUAUGGGGGACCGCGAUGCAGUCAGGGUAUUUCACAACUUUCGCCUUCCCCAGCCUGACCUUUCUAAAAGAGCUGCAGGGAGGGGACUUCUUGGCUACUGAGGGAAAAUCUCUAUGUGAUUGGUCCUUGGCUUUUUUCUUUUAUAGAGAUGUUCACCCAACUGAGAGUGUGUCCUCGGGUAUGGCUGUUGAUAAUCAUUAAGCCGUAAUUGGUAACUUCAUUCUAAGUGCUUUAUACAAAUAAAUUUAGGCCACACUGUGGCUCUCUGAAGUAUUGCUUUUCUCUGUUUUAAAGAUGAGAGUGAGACACAGGGUGCAAAGCAGCCAACUAGUGAGAGGUAGAGCUGGGGUUGGCACCUAGGCAGUCCAGGUCAGAGCCUGAGUUGAUCAUCUCUUGGAUACAUUCUCAUUGAGGCAGAGGAACUAGCUGGACUCGUGGGGAAAGCAAGUUAGGACCUGAUUGAAAGGACGUUGAGAGCAAGGCUCAUGGGCUUGGACGUCUAGGAAUUUUAAAAAAUUUCUCAACUAUUUUGUUUCAUGUUUUCCAAGUAUUUCGUAUUGUUGUGGAACUGUAUCAUUGUGGAGAAGUCUGAAAUGCGAGAAAUGAGAGUAGAAAAAGUUUUUUAAUUACCCAUGAAUCCAAGAUGUAAAGAUAGUAACUGUUAAGCUUCUAAUUGAUUUCUUUUUAGUCUUUCUUUGUGUCUAUUUCUAUAUUUGUUUAUAAACAUUUUUUUAAAAAUUGUUAUAUUUUAAUGUGUUUUCCCAUAUGUCUUUUAACUAUAGAAAAAUUUUAAAUACUGCUAAUAGAGACUAAAUUAGUGAGGCUGGUUGCAGUGGCUCAUGCCUAUAAUCCCAGCACUUUGGGAGGCCAAGGCAGGUGGAUCACUUGAGGUCAGUAGUUUGAGACCAGCCUGGCCAAAAUGGUGAAACCCCAUCUCUACUAAAAAUACAAAUAAAGAGAUUUAGGAGAAUUGCUUAAACCCGGGAGAUGGAGGUUGCAGUGAGCCAAGAUCACGCCACUGCACUCCAGCCUGGGCAACAGAGUGAGACUCAAAAAAUAAUAAUAAUAAUAAUAAAAUAAA